rnacentral:lncRNA from 1 species
AUGGUGGCCAGCGUCGUGGUCGUUGUUAUCGUUGCUGUCAUCGUCGUGGCCGGACUUGUCCUUGGACUCAAGCGAAGAGAGGAAGACUGGAGGCAGCUAAUCUCUCGCCUCAGAGACUAUAUGAGGUCAGAAGCAACCGAUUCUUCUGUCUGUGAAGCUCCCUGCUCUUGGGACCAAGGUGACCUGGAUCCCUACAAAACCCUUCAGUAUCCAACGGAUGAUCUCUACCAGAACAUUUCCUCAAUAUACCAUCAAGAUAAGGCUGAUAGAUGGCAGAGUAAUAUAGGCAGAAAUAAAGCAGUUACGUUUUUGGAGGACGAAACAGAUGAAGUGACUUGUGAAAAUGAGGAAAUCUAUGAAAACCUUUGAAUCAAAAUGUAAAAUAUUGUGACAGUAUAACUAUAUAAUGACUAUUUUAUAUUGUCUUUUUUGCUCAUUGAGACAAUAGAGUUGCCAGGCCUGCUAAAAACUCCUCGUCAACUUCUUAUGAGCAAAAUAGGGCGCCAUGAUUUCAGCACCAGUUGUCAGGCCCAGUGAUGACAACAGCUGGCAGAGGUCACCAAAGUCAAACAGUAUAAGAAGUAACUGAACUGAUACGUAUGUACAUGCUGCAUAUCUUACAGAAAAUCAUUUGUGAGAGCAACUUAACACCAGGAAGAGAAGCUGUGUUUUGCCGCCCUCUGUGGCUGACAGUUUCACACUUCUCCGGAUGCUGUGUGUGCGUUUAACGAGUGUUAGUGUUGUGAAUUAUGACUUGUAUUUACUCUUAAUCAAACUCUCAUUCAUUCUCGUUUCACUUACAAGUAAAUAAAUGAAUUUACUUGCAUUCAUUAUUUUGUAAAAUAAUGCAAAGCUGCAACAUAUUUUUCCUCGCUGUAUGGCUCAAAAUCCUGCUACUUGUUACAUUAAAUAUAACCAAUUUCAUUCUUAUGAUUUAGUUUGUGGUAUGUGCUAUAUGCUUAACUAAAUGUCUGAACUAGUUAAAUCACUGACAUUAAACCAACAGAGGGAAACAAGUGUUUUGACAAACACAUAGACAUCGGUGGGUUUUUGGAGGGUAUUUUUGUCACACAGACGUGCAGCAACUGAGCAGUUUGGUUUUAAGAGCGUGCUGUUUUUUAUAAUAACUCUAGCACACGCAUCCAAAUACGUGUCGAUCACAUAGGCAAGCGUGUAUCAGUUUAACAUUUUACACAAUUAAGCACUCUUUCGGACUUUGAAUAAAACAUAAACAUGAGAAAACUAGUGUUUAAACAGUGUUGUUCUGGCUGAAAGUGCAGUAGAGUCUAAAAGUGAGGCAUGCUUAUUUCAAUGUGGGAUGUUCAGGAUGUUUAAUGAUCCAUAAAAAGCCCUGACAUGGAGGUUUGCUCUACCAAAAUAAAGACAUAUUACAUUUACCCCAAAACACACAAGUCAGUAUUUGACUCUGAUAUCCACCUUUGUUUGGAAACCUGCUUCAAGAAAACAAAGCAUCAAACACCUCAGCCAGGGUAAGUUGAAUGUCUGUACCUGCUCCACAAUGCUAAAGUUUGUGUAACGUUGACAGUAUAUAUUGUGUUUCUUCAUUAGAGUUAUGCCUGUGACUCCCGUAUCGAUUUCAGUCGUAACUUUAAGGUAGAAAAAGUCGCUUCUUGCACUUCCUUGUUAGAGCACUUCACCAUCAACGCGUGUGGUGAAGGUGUCUUAAGUUUGAGGUCAGUGUUUUUUCCUCCGCCCUUAAGUACAGCCACUUACGGCAGCACUGCUACUCACACUCUACACUGUUAUGGAGCUUUUCACUCUAUGUUCUGUUCUGCUUCUGCCCAUGAAUUUGUGUUCGGACUCUGACUCUGAAGGUAAAGUACAGGAGAUUUUAUUUAG